rnacentral:rRNA from 1 species
GGAAUCUUGCGCAAUGGGGGCAACCCUGACGCAGCCACGCCGCGUGCCGGAAGACGGCCCUAUGGGUUGUAAACGGCUUUUCCCAGGGAAGUACCUUUGGGUUUCGACCCGAACUGACGGUACUUGGUGAAUAAGCACCGGGUCACUCCGUGCCCGCAGCCGCGGUAAUACGGAGGGUGCAAGCGUUGUCCGGAAUCAUUGGGGGUAAAGGGUGCGGAGGCGGAAGCCUAAGUCGGGGGUGAAAUCUUACCGCUUAACGGUAAAAUGGCCUUCGAUACUGGGUUUCUUGAGUCCGGAAGAGGUUGGUGGAAUUCGUGGUGUAGCGGUGAAAUGCAUAGAUAUCACGAAGAACACCGGUGGCGAAGGCGGCCAACUGGUCCGGUACUGACGCUGAGGCACGAGAGCGUGGGGAGCGAAC